CGCAAGCACUCGAUUGAAAAGCAGUGUUGAUAUAUAUAGAUUAUACCUAUAGGUAUAAUCAGAAUAAUAUAUAGGUAUAAUCUAUAUAUAUCAACACUGCUUUUCAAUCGAGUGCUUG
rnacentral:miRNA from 1 species